CCAAAAAAAUAGAUUAUUUAUUACAAAGAAAUUUGGGAGAUUUGAGAAAGAUUGCCAAUAUAUGAUGUUGGAAAUGCAUUUGCAUAGGAAUAUUAUAAUGAGUUCAUAGCUGAAUUAUUUCAUGCUCUAUAUCCAGGUCUGUUGUGCCCACCCAACUCCCAAAGGCACGCAGGAGCACAAGUAAUUGACUGUUGAACAUCCAGAUAUCUCAGCAAUAGAUUUUGAACAACCUGAGGACAGGAAGCAUAUUUUACAUGUCUUCAUAUUCCCAGACUUGAACAUGGUACUCUAACAUGGAACUAGCAUACAGUAAAUGUUCAAUAAAUGUUUAUUGAAUAAAUGAAUCUAUUCACUCUAAUAUACUUUUAAAACUUAUUUUAAAAUAUUUGAGCGUACAUAGUGUGGUAGCAGGUAUGAUAAUUCACCCUUUGGGCAAUUAAAGUGUGUACUACUUUAAUCAGGAUUACACACUCCAAGAUGGUUGCUUAUCAUUUUAAAUACUCUUACCAGGAAUCCUCAUUCCAGAUGCAGCUUCCUCAAAAGCUUACAUUAUAUGUAUAUAUCAUGAACAUAAUAGGGUAUGAAUUGACAUAGGGACUCCAUUGAUAAAAUAAGUAGUGUCCCAGUUAUGUGGAUUGACUAGAAAUACUGUGUAGCCCCUUGGCCCUGGCAUGAGCAUGCUCUAAGAAUCUAAUAAGCCAAGUAGUCCAUCUCCUUGGGAGUGAUGCUUAUAGCUUAGGGCUCCGUUCAGGCUUCCGCUCAGAAAUAUAUAGAGGAGCCUGAAUCGCAGGGCUCUUGACUACAACCCAAAAUGGCCAAAGCACGUGAGCCAGGCCUCUCUGGUCUUGGGGUAACCUCAUUCUUUCACCACAGUUGUAUCAGUUGCCAAGGGUGUCACACGAUUUUUUUAAAAGUUGGGAGAUAGUACUCUAGAAUUUGUUUGUAACAGCCUCUUAUAAGAGUUGUUAAAAGUGGUGAGAGCUAAGACCUCAGAGAGCUUACAAGAACAACAUACAUGAUUUUUUUUUUUUUGCCUGUUCUCUAAUAUAUGUUUUUACAUAUUCAGAAUUGUGUAUGCAGAAUUGGGUCUGUCUUUAUCUGGCCAUCUUCUUAGAAGGACAUGAGUCACAUUAGAUUAGGGGCCAUAUUAUUCUGGUAUGACAUCAUCUUAAUUAUAUCCACAGUGUAAUUAAAAAUAAAGUCACAUUCUAAGGUACUGGGAGAGAGAACUUCAACAUAUGCGUUUGAAUAUACAGUCGGGCAGUGAGAGUGUGUAGGAAGUCUGCAGCCAUCACUCGCCUCCAUUCAUCAAAGGCUACUGAUAUCUGCAGCAAGAAAUAUAAAUAAUGUAAACCACUAAGCUGGUUUAGAUAGGUUCACAACAAUCCCUAGUUUAUCACAGUAAAAAGAAAGAUUCUUUAAGACUUCUUCAGACUUAUAAUUAAGAAAUAUUUCCUGUAGAGGGUCUUACUGGUUUCCCAGGAAUACCAUAACAAAGUAUCACAAACCACAUGGCUUAAAACAACAGAAAUGUAUUGUUUUACAGUUUGGGCAGCUACAAGCUUGAAAUCAAGGUAUUGGCAGCACUGCACUCCCUCUGAAACUUGUAGAGAAAGAGUCCUUCUUGCCUCUUCCUAGACCCUGGUAGUUGCUGGCAGUCUUUGGCAUUUCUUGUCUUGUAGAUGCGGCACUUUAACAUCGUCCUCAGAGACCGUCACAUGGUAUUUUCCCUGUGUUUCUCUGCCUUUAUGCGGCCAUCUUCUUAGAAGGACACCAGUCACAACGGAUUAGGGGCCUCAUCUUACCUCAAUUUUGCUUCUUAGUAGCACAGAAGUAGGUCCAGAAAAGGAUUCAGAAAAGCUCUUAACCCCAGGCUCAUGCCAUGGGUUACACAUGUACAACAUCCUCCUUAGACACAGAAAUUUUGCAGCUCACCCACCUGGCCUUCAACUGGUGAGCAGGCCUGGUUGU
rnacentral:lncRNA from 10 species